ensembl:lncRNA
CGAGCGGCGCCGUUGCCGCUGUGUCGCCUCAGGGCUGCUGCUCCCGGCUCAUCCCGGGACGGCGCUCAGCCCUGUGGGCAGAGACGGAGCCGUCGGUGCCGCUUCCAGGAGAACGGCCGCCUCUUCCCAGCAGAGCAGAGUGAGUGUUUGACAUACGUUUCUCACCUGGGAGCCAACACUGGCUUUGGCAGUUUGAUACGCAACAGUUGCUUCCAUUUCCAUUGGUAAUCCCAACACUGCUGCCCGAACUGCACGCUCAGCUUCCCAGAACCGAGUUGGAUUGACACUGGCUCAAGGAGUCCCAAGGCUCAGAGUGCUCCCACAUCCUACCUAAUUCUCAAGGCACAAAG